rnacentral:rRNA from 1 species
AUUGAACGCUGGCGGCAUGCUUUACACAUGCAAGUCGAACGGUAACAGGGAGCUUGCUCCGCUGACGAGUGGCGAACGGGUGAGUAAUAUAUCGGAACGUACCCAAGAGUGGGGGAUAACGUAGCGAAAGUUACGCUAAUACCGCAUACGAUCUAUGGAUGAAAGCAGGGGACCUUCGGGCCUUGUGCUCCUUGAGCGGCCGAUAUCUGAUUAGCUAGUUGGUGAGGUAAAGGCUCACCAAGGCGACGAUCAGUAGCUGGUCUGAGAGGACGACCAGCCACACUGGAACUGAGACACGGUCCAGACUCCUACGGGAGGCAGCAGUGGGGAAUUUUGGACAAUGGGCGCAAGCCUGAUCCAGCAAUGCCGCGUGAGUGAAGAAGGCCUUCGGGUUGUAAAGCUCUUUUGUCAGGGAAGAAACGGCUGUGGCUAAUAUCCACGGCUAAUGACGGUACCUGAAGAAUAAGCACCGGCUAACUACGUG